CUGGCUCAGGAUGAACGCUAGCUACAGGCUUAACACAUGCAAGUCGCGGGGCAUCAUGGCAUGUAGCAAUACAUGCUGAUGGCGACCGGCGGAUGGGUGAGUAACGCGUAUCCAACCUGGCCCCUAUCUCGGGUACAGCCCCUCGAAAGAGGGAUUAAUCCCCGAUGUUCCCUGGGAUCCGCAUGUUUUCCAGGGCAAAGGCAUUUGUCGGAUAGGGAUGGGGAUGCGUUCCAUUAGGCAGUCGGCGGGGUAACGGCCCACCGAGCCUACGAUGGAUAGGGGUUCUGAGAGGAAGGCCCCCCACACUGGGACUGAGACACGGCCCAGACUCCUACGGGAGGCAGCAGUGAGGAAUAUUGGUCAAUGGCGGUAACGCUGAACCAGCCAAGUAGCGUGAGGGAUUACGGCCCUAUGGGUUUUAAACCUCUUUUGUUAGGGAGCAACCGGUGGCACUAGUGCCAUUCUGCGAGUACCUUUCGAAUAAGCAUCGGCUAACUCCGUGCCAGCCGCAGC
rnacentral:rRNA from 1 species